AAUAUAUCACCAAAUUCAGUGUAUUCCAAUUUUGUAAAAUCGAAGUUUAAAAUAUUGGAAAAUAAGGCCGAAAAUAAUAACUGUAAUGGCCCGACUGAGCAGGCGAAUUACGAACAUGGUACCAUUAGGCCAUCUCCAUUGGUGAGAUACUUCAAAAGUUUCUCAAAAUAUAAUAAUAAUAAUAAUUUAUUAUGAUUUAGUUUCUAUCCAAUUAUAAACACACACAUAUACACAUAGUCUCUCAAUCAUUACUUUAAAGUUUCUCUGCAGAGAAACUAUUCUCAAUCUCUCUCUUAUCUCUCUCAUACUUUAUUAUUAUUUUAUAUUUUUUAGUCAAUGAAAAACUAUGUGAGAGACUAUUGAUGGAGAUGCUCUUAUGUUUGCAUGUGCCAACGUAAAGGAUAUGGCAUGUUUGGUAACUGAGAUUACAUUA
rnacentral:sRNA from 1 species